CCUCUGGCGGACUCUCCAAGGUCCACGUGCCCAGAGCCAGCCUCUGGCCGACCGCGCAGGGCUCGGGUUCCGGAGCGGAGCCGGAUUGCUCCCCAGUCCCGCCCGUGAAGAAGCCUCUCUCGGCUGGCAGCUCCGGGAGAGCGCAGCGCAAGCGAGGACGGAGCGCCUCCCCUCCCUCUCCGUGGGAAGCAGCCGAGGAGCUCCAGCCACUUUCAGGGUUAACAAAGGACAACGGAGCGGAAGGAAAGAGCGCAAAGGAGGGAGGGACGUCCCUUUCCUGCCCCGCCUCUCGGCGAGAAAAGCAGGUGGAAGCGCCGGAGGAGCCCCUCUUUGCGCGCAGCGAUGAUGGCGAGCGGGGCUGCGCGGGGGGAGCCUCGAGACAAAGAGCUCUGAGUUGGCAGUUUUAUUUCCCAGCUGUGGGUAAUCAGAGGCCCAUGUGAUGUUCCUCUAUUAGUGUAAAUAUGAGCUCUCUAGUCUGGAUCCAGCUGAGCCCGUUCCUCCUGGGUGAAGUGCAAGGACCCUUCCUCAAAGGUCACCAGUCCCUGGAAGAAGAAAACCAUUGCCUUCCUCAUUGAUACUCCCAAGCAAGGCAUGGACAUCAUCUGCCCUCCACUCAUGCUCUGAAGAGAGAUGGGGCAAGCAGGAACUUUUCCUUUAGAGUUCACAAAUCACCUCAGGUCCAGAUGGCAUCUGAUCUUCUAACAAAAAUAUGUACGUUCUCUCAAAGACUUGCUACCAUAUGGACUGGUGUCAGGGAAAUCAGAGGCCUAUUAGCUGUUCUGGGAAAAAUAGUGGAAAAUAUUAUUAAGGACAAAAUUACCAAACAUGGAGUGGAACUCAGCAAUCAUGGGAUAUCGGGGAAUAUGCUCUCAUGCAUCAGGAACUGUUUAAAGAUCAGGAAGGAGAAAGUCGGAAUAAAUGAACAGUUCUCCCAAUGGAGGGAUGUAAGAAGUGUCCCCCCGCCUAUCAUCAGGAUUAGGACCUGUGCUUUUAAACUUGUUGCUAAAUGACAUGGAUUUACUGUUGAUAUCAAGUUUAGGGUGAUUAAAUAAAGAGGGAUGGUGAGGAACUCCAAAAGGAACUUUCCAAAGAGCAAAUGCAAUUAAAUGAAAGCAAGUGUAAAGUGAUGCACAGAAGUAAAAAAAUCCAAACUGAACCGGUGGUGACUGACACGAGAGAGACCUUGAGGUCAGAGCGGAUGCCUCAGUUAAGAUAUAUCUAUGAAAUCGAUGAAUUCCAUGUGAAGGAUUAUUAAGACACAGAUUGAAAAUAAAACUGCCAAUAUAUUAACGCCAUUAUACACAUCGAAGAUGUGAUCCUACUUGGAAUGUUGUCUUCAGUUCUGGUUGCCUGAUCGCAAAAAUAGCAUUCUAGAGGUGGAAGAGGUAGAGAAAUGGGCAAACAAAAUGAUCAAGGGUUGCAACAUUUGGGGAUUUUUGCCAUAGAAAAAUAGCUUAGAGGAGACACAAUAGAAGUGUAUGAUCACAUCAGACCUUUAAAGCACAUUCAACACAAAUGUAAAGCACAUGGCUUCCCCCAACGAAUCCUGGAUAAUAGUUUUUCCUCACUGCGCUACAUUCCCAGCACCCUUCAUAAACUACAACUCCCAGGACUCUUUGGAGGAAGCCACAUGCUUUCAAUGUACAGUGUGGAUGUGCCAUAAAGAAGCGUGGUGUGGAGAAACUGGAUAACAUCCUCUGAUUUAGUAGGGAACUUACACCUGGAGUGUAGGAAGAGAGAGCAGGAAGUAGCUUCCAUGACUUUGCACCCAUUUCAGGAGAAACGUCACUCGCUAAACAGUUUGUCUGCCAGGCUACCCCAGAACAAGGAGGGCAGGGCCACCUUUCUGCUUUCCUGAAUUAAAUGGCGACCUUAAUUCUAACAGAACAGGAAACUGGGGAGGGCUGGCAGAAUGGAAUUAAUGGCAGAAUAACCUCACUAUUCGACUAUCCCAGCUGAACCACAGGAGAAAGGAGGACAGAUGAAGAAGCGGCCCAUUCAGCGCACUGGUGUCUCCUUAGCUCUGUUCCAACGAUCAAGCUUCCACAUCUGCAAAGCUUAAGGCCCUGAAAUUCAUCUCCAGACCCACAGAUGUUCCCCGGGCAGAGCUGCAGCCUCCGAUCGGGAGGGUCUGUGGGGAGGGGCGCUUCAGGGGGUCCUCGCCCCCUUCCACCCUCCCCUCCUUGCCUACCUUUGUCUCCAGGGUCCCCCCGCGCAACCCCGCUGGCCAACAUCGCUGCGCACGAAGAGGGGCUCCUCCGGCGCUUCCAGCCUCCCUUUCUCGCAGAGAGGCGAGGCAGGAAAGGGAAGUCCCUCGUUUGCGCUCCUUCCUCCGGCUCUGUUGUCCUUUGUUAACCCUUCAAGAGCUCCCGGCAGAGAGAGGCUUCUGAACGGGUGGGCCUGGGGAAGUGAUCAGGCUCCACUCCGGAGCCUGGAGCCCUUUGCGGUCGGCCAGCCGCUGGCUCUGGACAGCUGAACCUUCUCUUGAGGCUGCUCUUCCAGCGGGCUGAACGGAUCAUCCUUGCCCAGCAGUGGAGGCCACUCCUGCUCAGAGCUUGGAAAAGUUACUUUUGGGAACUACAACUCCCAUCAGCCCAAUCCAGUGGCCAUGCUCCUGCUCUUAUCCCACCAGUGAGCUGCCUGCCUGCGCCGGGUUGUCAAGGUUUUCUCCGGGAGGUCGCUCUGGGUCCCACAGGAGAGGGAGCGCGCCAAGAAACAGGCGCAGGGAUGAGUGGAGCUAUUCGGAGCGGGAAACUUUGGCUGCCAUAAGUUCCUCCCUCCAAUCCCAGCUAUGCCGUUCCCCCUUCCUGCCUGCAGCCUCCAAGACCGGGAUCUCCUCUCCGCCCCCUGCCACCCAGUCCUUUUCAACUCCCUCCCCAGAGGGAUCAGCCUUUCCAGCACGUGUCUGCCAGAGCAGAGGUCUGAGGCCAGCUGCAGGGAUCGCAGCAGGCAUCCACUGGGAUGCCACUUAGAAAGCUGGGAGCAGCGGAGGUUUCAGCUCCCUGGACACCUUCUGGGAAAACCCGGAGUGGAUUUCACUGCCCCACUAACUGGGAGGUUUUGUUUGCCCAUCCUGGGGGGGACCCUGCCUCACCACUCUUCUGGAGAGAGACCCACUUUUGUCCUGUUGCAAAGCUUGUUAUUCUGCCCCCUUUCCCACCAAGUAUCCUUAGAACCAUAGAGUUGGAAGGGGCCUGAAAGGCCAUCCAGUCCAGCCCCCUGCUCAAGGCAAGUAUCCAAAUUAAAGCAUUCCUGAACGGUGACUGUCCAGCUGCCUCCUGAAUGCCACCAGAAGACAUAUUCAUCUAGUCUCCCUCUCCCUCAGCAUGAAGUCUUACACCUCAAUGGUAGAGAUAGACCAUGUUCCCAUCAAGCAUGCACAUCCAACAAUAAAGAACCUUUCUUCUUG